AGCACGACACGUGAGAGGUAGACCUGCGUUGUCUUUUUCACUCGGAUCCACCAUCUUCAGCUUGACGGCCAAAUCUCUGCUUUUAUCCGAAAUGAUCGGAAACGGAAGCUUUCCUGUGGAACAUUUAGCAAAGUUCAUAACAUCCUGCAAUGAAACAAGGGAACUUUCUUAUUAGAUAACGACUCACUAUUACGUAACACGGCCGAGUCACUGCCAUUUUCUCUCAACAUGCGCCGUUGAUUUAUUUGAAUCAAACUCAUUUCAGUUGGAAGUUCGAUUGUGCGAUACACAAUUUAUGGCCGCAAUAUCAAAUAGUUUUCAAGGACAAUUGAUGUUGGUAUAAGUGGGACACAGCGGACCGGCGGCCCAAGCCUUAUCAUUUUCCACCAAAACGAAUGGAAGUUGCCCUGCUUACUAUCGCAGCCUAUUAUUUUCUCUAAAACAUGAAAAUCCAAGACAAGGACUUCUGAGUAUCAUAGCUCUAGGAAAAGAUUAAUUGACGGAAUUUCAGACACCACCACCUCCCUCCAGCAAAGUCUUUCUCCAAAAGUAAUACUCGGAUGAUUCGAUGCGGCGGAUGCUGUGAUGGGAAGGACGAUUGGUGUAAUUGUAUCUAAGAAUUGCAGCGCAACCCAUAUAUAUUCAUUCAAUUUUAACAUUGUAUUUACAUUUGCUCCAAUUUGCAUUGUUUUAAUCUAAAUUAAAUGAAUAUCAUAUAUGUACGUAGCGCGUGGUUACCAUAAGUUAUUCUUGUGUGUAUAUGUACACGUUGUUCUUUUUUUUUUUUUUUUUCGAGCGCACUAAAUGUUUUCAUCGAAGGAACACGCACUAACCAAUGCUACAUUGGAUUGUACAUGUAGUAAAAAGAACAUGAAAUUCAUUCAGAAUAUAUGUGAAAAGAAAUAUUAUAAAACGAACUUGAAAAGUUGUUUGUUUUUUUAAAAAAAUUCAACACAUGACAAUGGGACUGAAUGUGAUCCUUAUAGGAUGUGAUAAGAUUUACAAACAAUGUGGUAAGUUCUACACAAGAGUUGACACUGACAAAACCUAACAAAAAAUAAUCUUGUCGGUAUUAUAUUCAAUGUUUUAGCAUAUACACUUGCAUCUAUUAAUUACACUCUUUAUUUAAAAAAAAAAUAUACAGGCUCCUGACAAUUAUCUUUAUAUAACAAAUCUUUCAAUGCAUUAGUAUUUACGCAAAGGAUAACAGUUUGAAUCAUAAAUCAUAUUCAUUGUC